rnacentral:misc_RNA from 1 species
AAAGGACCUGUGAUUUCAACCUUUUGCACUAAGGUCCCAAAAUAAAUAAUAGCAUUAAAAUUGUUAAUGUGGAGCUGAUGUGGCACACUAGCCAUGUAACUCAACGUUAGCGCAUAUCUAACUCCAUUAUUCACUUUGUCCAUUAAGUGCUAGCGGCGUUAAACCACAGACCCUUAGGUGCAAAAGAAAAAACCUCAAGCCCUUUUUGAUAAAACACGCAAACAACAAAGUACCUAAGUGUACUUUUCCAUUAAUUUUAUCAUGUUUUGCUUUAUUUUAAUUUUUAUAUUGAAUCUCAUGCGUAGUUUGCAAUGUAAUCUCCAAAAAAUAAUUUAGCGCAAUUAGUUACCCAAAUAAUAGAUAUUGUGAUAAUUUAUAGAUUAUACAUUUUGGUUAUCCUAAAUAGCUCUUUAUUGUUGCGUCAAACUUGAAGUGGAACUUUUUU